rnacentral:rRNA from 1 species
GAUGCAGCCAUGCCGCGUGAGUGAUGAAGGCCUUAGGGUCGUAAAGCUCUUUCGCCGGGGAAGAUAAUGACAGUACCCGGUAAAGAAACCCCGGCUAACUCCGUGCCAGCAGCCGCGGU